rnacentral:rRNA from 1 species
AAAGAUUAAGCCAUGCAAGUCUAAGUAUAAGCAACUAUACGGCGAAACUGCGAACGGCUCAUUAUAUAAGUUAUCGUUUAUUUGAUAGCACCUUACUACUUGGGUAACCGUGGUAAUUCUAGAGCUAAUACAUGCUAAAAAUCCCGACUCCGGAAGGGAUGUGUUUAUUAGAUUCAAAACCAAUGCCCCCUGGGCUCACUGGUGAUUCAUGAUAACCGCUCGAAUCGCACGGCCUUGCGCCGGCGAUGGUUCAUUCAAAUUUCUUCCCUAUCAACUUUCGAUGUUUGGGUAGUGGCCAAACAUGGUUGCAACGGGUAACGGAGGGUUAGGGCUCGACCCCGGAGAAGGAGCCUGAGAAACGGCUACUACAUCCAAGGAAGGCAGCAGGCGCGCAAAUUACCCAAUCCCGACACGGGGAGGUAGUGACAAUAAAUACCGAUAUAGGGCUCUUUUGGGUCUUAUAAUUGGAAUGAGUACAAUUUAAAUCCCUUAACGAGGAACAAUUGGAGGGCAAGUCUGGUGCCAGCAGCCGCGGUAAUUCCAGCUCCAAUAGCGUAUAUUAAAGUUGUUGUGGUUAAAAAGCUCGUAGUUGAACCUUGGGCCUGGCUGGCCGGUCCGCCUCACCGCGUGCACUGGUCCGGCCGGGCCUUUCCCUCCGCGGAACCCCAUGCCCUUCGCUGGGCGUGGCGGGGAAACGGGACUGUUACUUUGAAAAAAUUAGAGUGCUCCAGGCAGGCCUAUGCUCGAAUACAUUAGCAUGGAAUAAUGAAAUAGGACGCGCGGUUCUAUUUUGUUGGUUUCUAGGACCGCCGUAAUGAUUGAUAGGGACAGUCGGGGGCGUCAGUAUUCAACCGUCAGAGGUGAAAUUCUUGGACCGGUUGAAGACUAACUACUGCGAAAGCAUUCGCCAAGGAUGUUUUCAUUAAUCAGGAACGAAAGCUAGGGGAUCGAAGACGAUCAGAUACCGUCGUAGUCUUAGCCAUAAACUAUGCCGACUAGGGAUCGGGCGAUGUUAUUCUUUGACUCGCUCGGCACCUUCCGAGAAAUCAAAGUGCUUGGGCUCCAGGGGGAGUAUGGUCGCAAGGCUGA